AUAUCUAUUCUACCUUGUUAAGAUCAAGUGUAGUAUCUGUUCUUAUCAGUUUCAGAUCAGAUAAUUGCUACUUGUGAUGAAGUGGGGAGCUUGA
ensembl:snRNA U2 U2 spliceosomal RNA